GCUGGGCGUGGUGGCUCAUGCCUGUAAUCCUAGCACUUUGGGAGGCUGAGGUGGGUGGAUCACCUGAGGUCAGGAGUUCAAGACUAGCCUGGCCAACAUGGUGAAACCCCGUCUCUA
rnacentral:SRP_RNA from 1 species